UGCUGAAUUGUUUGAAUUACCUGGCUACA
rnacentral:piRNA from 1 species